rnacentral:rRNA from 1 species
UGGAUGAUGUGGAUUAAUUCGAUGCAACGCGAAGAACCUUCCUACCUUGACAUGUCCGGAACUUGCCAGAGAUGGCUUUGGGUGCCCGAAAGGGAAUCGGAACACAGGUGCUGCAUGGCUGUCGUCAGCUCGUGUCGUGAGAUGUUGGGUUAAGUCCCGCAACGAGCGCAACCCUUAUCAUUAGUUGCUACGCAAGGGCACUCUAAUGAGACUGCCGGUGACAAACCGGAGGAAGGUGGGGAUGACGUCAAGUCCUCAUGGCCCUUAUGGGUAGGGCUUCACACGUCAUACAAUGGUCGGUACAGAGGGUUGCCAAGCCGCGAGGCGGAGCCAAUCCCACAAAGCCGAUCGUAGUCCGGAUUGUUCUCUGCAACUCGAGAGCAUGAAGUCGGAAUCGCUAGUAAUCGCAGGUCAGCAUACUGCGGUGAAUACGUUCCCGGGUCUU